UGCUUACCUAUUUAGAUUCACACCCAUAGGUUGGUAAGGGCAGCAGAUUGUUGAUGUUUGAAUAUGCAAAUUUAAAAGCAUGGUGGUACAAUUAGUCUUGCCUUUUCUUUCUGAUAGGAGACAAGAUUCUCUCCUUGUAUAUAGUGAGACUCUCACAAAGCAACAAAUUUUCAUAUUCAAUGUGUCGAAAUAAUUUUAUGAAUAUUAGCCAAUAGUUAGGGGGUG
rnacentral:lncRNA from 1 species